rnacentral:rRNA from 1 species
ACAGCAGCAGCCGCGGUAAGACGGAGGGUGCUAGCGUUGUUCGGAAUCACUGGGCGUAAAGGGCGCGUAGGCGGCCUGUUAAGUCGGAUGUGAAAGCCCGGGGCUCAACCCCGGAACUGCAUCCGAGACUGGCAGGCUUGAGACCGGGAGAGGAGGGUGGAAUAUCCAGUGUAGAGGUGAAAUUCGUAGAUAUUGGAUGGAACACCGGUGGCGAAAGCGGCUCUCUGGCCCGGAUCUGACGCUGAGGCGCGAAAGCGUGGGGAGCAAACAGGAUUAGAUACCCGAGUAGUCCUGUCUCUUAUACA